ensembl:lncRNA
CACUUACUAGCUUCAUUUCCUACCCCCAGCUUUGCUUCCUCCCUCCAUCUCACAGAUCGUGGACCCUCAUCGGUGGAUCCUUUUCUCUGUUUCGUCCCAUUCCCUCGACUCUUGCUGCUGUUAUUCUGUGCAUUGAUACAACUGGGUACUACUCAACAGCGUAGGAAAAAGCAACACCUGCCAUCUGAUACCAAUGGCUUGCUUAGGGUGGACUAGAAAGCAGCGAGCACGAAUAUAUAGUUAGGAUACAGGAGACGUACAUUGGCCAUUUCUUCUCUGACAACUGCGUGUCACUUUUGCAGCAGACUGCAGCUCCCUUAGCUUUAUCCAUAAGGACAGUCUUUUGAGGACAGUGACAUAGACCGGGUAGGGGUGCUGCCGCCCCUGAGCUAAAGAGCCAGCAAUGUACUGUUCUCUCCUUUGAUGGUGGACACACACAACCCACGGUGAGCACAAGGAAAUGUUGAGUCUAUUAGGAUUCACCCACUAGCGGGGCAAAAAGGCCCACAAACAAAACCAAGCAUCAGCCCUUCUCCAGUGCCAGCUUAAGGAGCUUUAGGAAAGUUCCUGCUCGCAGUAUCCGAUCGAUAGAGCUGACUGAUCGAUCGGCUGACACUUGUGAGGGACUAGUGUCAAUUUAAGCCCAAAACUGCGACCGCGGAGCCCCCUCCCGCUGCCGCCCGCCCGCCAAACGAGCCCCCAGCCCGGUGCUGUGCCUCGGCCCUGCGCUCCCCGCCCGCGGAGCCGCUCCAGCUUUUGUCUCCGUACGCUGCCUUCUUCCUUUCUCUCUUUCCAAACUUUUGAGCGCUCGCUCUGAGCUGUAUUUAUAGAGCUGGAGCCCACGGCUGUAUUUUUCCUUGUGCCUCCUUUGGCUUGGGCUGAAGUCACUGGCAGGGAAAAUAAGAAGGAGGCAGGCGGGCGGGCAGACGAGCGAGAGGACAGAAGGGAAAAAGAGCCUGAGUCCCGCAGACGGGACCUGGAGGGAGUCCGGGGUAGGCGGCGGAACGUGCGGGACCCUUUUCCCGCUGACGAGCGAGAGUAAGGACGCUCAAGUCUCUAAGAUGGCACCAAAUCUCUCAGCAAAGCGGGCAGUAUAGUUGCGUUGUUAAGCAUUUUCCUCGCCGGCGUGCACCACACUGACACUAAUGUCAGAAAUGAAUGUCAAAGUAACUCUGACAUCGUUAGACAGCCCGUUCCGCAGAGCGGCGGGAGCCGCCGGACUGCACCUCUCUGCACCGUUCAGCGUAUUAUGGCCGUGUUCAAACUCAUUCCAGUGCGCCCUGAGGAAGGUAUAAAAUUAGAUUAAAGCUCCCAGCAGCGCAUCAGGUCCCGCUCUGAGCCUCGGCUCCGCACUCAGGCUUGUUCACGUCGCCGACACUUCAGAACAAAACCCGGCUACACUCAACGUCUCCGGGCAGAUUUUUCUGUUUGAUUACAUUAAUAAUUUAAUUUCUAUUUCCUACCGGCCCUUCCACGUGGGCAAAUCAAACCCCCUUCCAACAUGGGUGGGGGUUGUUAUUUAUAGCUCGUUCGCUGGAACAAAAUGUACCAACACUCCCUCCUUUGAAUCUCACUGCGGUUUGACUGCACUUUGAUAUUUAAGACCGUCGGUUUUCCUUGUCAAACUACCUGCUAUAGGAAAUUGCUCCCUUCGCUUGGCAAAUCACUCUUCACAAAGGUAGACAGGAACAUUUGCCUAAGGAAAGAAACGUUUCUAAAACGUUGCAAGGACAGAUCCACAUUAAUAAGCUGGUAAAUCUUCUGUAAGAGCUGCCCUUACGGUAACUGUGUGCAGAGUUCUCCGUAGCGCUGCGCCCAGCUACCAGAAUAAAUCAGAACCGAGUAAAACGCUGCCAUGCCUCCUCGUCCCCUUGACAGGGAUAUUUCUUCACCGCUUGCUGGGCAGAUUUUUGGGAACUCCACGUGCACCUCAUGAUCAAUACAAAAAUCCGGGUCCGAUUUUAAUAUUGUUUAAAUAUCCCUGCUGUCCCUUCCCAGCUGCAGUUCUGCCCUGCUGCUGCUGCUUCAGCAAAUGCAUACUUGUUAAAGUGCUUCCAAAUAUUUCCCUCGUUGUCUGAGAACUUCAGCUGACACCACUGCCACCGCUGUGCCCUUUGAAAGAAAAAAACACGUUUCUGUAUUUUGAGCUAAAAGCUCAACAAGAAGCUCAACGUAGGAGCAGGGGAAAAUAAAUAAAUAAAUAAACAAAACGCUAAGAGGGAACAAUGCAAAGUAGUUGGGAUAGAGAGAGAGAGAGAGAGAGAGAGAGAAAAGCCUCAAACGCUUCUGUCAAAUUAUGCCUACUAAAGACUGAAUUACAGUAAUUCAGGCUCUGAAAACCAGCACCCUUGGCAUUACAAUGACGGACGUGUUUUGGUGUACGCACAGCUAUGGUGUGAGGUGCCGAAACGCUAACAGGAGUUUCCAGCUCCAUAGAUGUAGGUCUGGAAAGCUCCCCUGCCACUUUGCAGGGACAUCCGCACACGUUGGCGAAAGCGCUGCGGGGAAUAAUGCCCCACCACCGCGAUCUUCGCGACCGACGGCAUCCUCACGUACAGUGCCCUCCGCGGCCACAGAUCUGCGGCUAAACAAACCCAAAUGAACAAAAUAAGUGCAAACCAGGCUUCUUCCUGCAAGGGAGUUGAAAUGCAUGUAUGAGGAGCGUAUAGAAUAAAAGAAAAGAAAAAAAAAAAUGUGUGUUUUCAGCUCCAAAUCGCUGCAUUAACAGCAAGAGAACAAGAUCAGUAUACCUGACAGAAGGGGGCAAACUCCUGUUCGGACAGCGAUUGUUGUAUGACAAGAAGCAACAACUGCUUUGCUAUAAAAACAGUGUUUAUUACGAAGAAACCGAAUGAGCAGCCAUCCAAAUAAAUACCCCCUGCAUCCAACAAGUGCGCGGUGUUUGUGAUGUUUUGGGUGCCGCUGACCUUUCUGUCCUUUUAACCAUUACUGUGUUUUUGCUCGCCGUUAUGAACACUGUUUUCCAGUUGUCCCAAUUUCAACACUGCUUAACACUCCUAAGCUGCACGGAGAAAUAACAGAAAGGGGUAUUUUUUUUCCCCCCUGUAUAUGCGCGUCAAUAAAUUCAAUACGUAUUCUUACUUCAUGUUUUCAUGUGGUUACACGGAGCCCGUGCAAAUAAUAGCCUCCAACUCCGCCGUAUUUAUGGUGCAUCCUAUUGCUUAUCCCCGGUCCUUGGAGAGUGGUAGCACAUUCACCCUGACAGGUGGGGAAAAGCCACAAGAGCUUAGCGGUGGCAUCGUUCUUCAAGUUGGGAGCUUUCUCUUUGUAUCUCUGUGAUUUGUGCCUUUUUUUUUACUGUAGCAUCCAGACGGACCGGUUUAUUUAAAACAAGUGAACUCCUUGGUAACGCACGAGCAGAUGAUGCCCCGCGCACGUACGGAGCCUCCGCGUACCCCGUGUGUGUGCGGACCCGCGGCUGUCCCGCGACUCUGCGCCUCGAAGUGCCGGCACCGAGCGGGGCUGCAAAAUACAACCAGCGCUACUGAAAGAACGGCGAGAAAGCAGGGGGCGAGCAGUGGGGCAUUCCUCGCAAAAGCGUCCCCAGCCUCGCUCAACAAACAACUCCUCCGCCAAAACACUAAAUAUGAAGUAGGAAACCCGCAAACAAAACGAGAGGGAUACUGCGGGGGCGGCGGGCCGGUGGCCAGGCGCUGUCUGCCCGCAGCCUCCCGCAGCCGCGCGGUCCCUCAGCCCCGGAGCCCCGCAGGCUCUCGCAGCCCCGCCGCGGUCACCGGGCUCUCUGCGUGCCCGCGGAUCGGCCCUGCGGGUUCCGCGCUCGCCGGCUCAGAUCCGCACCUGUCCCCGUUGCCGGGGUCCCGCACCUCCCGG